UGAUGUAGGAGAAGCUGUUCAUUAUUUUGUUUUUCCAUUGUUGGAGAAAUCAUUUAGACUUGUAAAAGAUGAAGACGCUAUUACAUUGCAAGAACUUGGUGGAAAUAUUUUUAUGAUCUUACAUAGUUUAAGACUGCAAGUGAUGGAUUACCCGAAAGAUUGUGUAGAUGAAAAUACUUUCAAAAAGCUUGUUCAUGAUUUGAUAAUUGAACCUAUAAUUAACCAUGUUGGUAAAAAUGUUACCAAUAACAUAUCUGUAAUGCUGGCACUGUUUGUUAUGAAGUUAACCAAUAAAUAUGAAAUAAUUCUAUCAGGACUUCAGAGGAGUGUGAUUUACCAAAGCCUUUUGGUUACUGUUGACAGAGAAGAAAAGAAAUGUCAUACUAUAGAUUUCAUCAUAAAAUACUUUGAUAAAAAGGUUAUUGCCAGUUCCAUUUCAACGUUGAUAUUAAGUCCAGUAGAUGUCGAUAGACAUAAUUAUGCUGAUUCUACCUGGUUGUUGGCAGUUCCUUUAUUCCAUUUUUUAAAUGGUAAUUCACAGCCAUUCAUUCAACCUUCAUUAACAUCUAAGCAUAAUACUGCAGAAUGGUGGCUUGAUAAAACAUUUGAGAGAAAAAAAGAUGAACUGAAAAGAAAGACUUGGAUUUGGACUGAAGUGGAAAUAUUUGAAAAAAUAUCACCUUUGUUUGAAGCUGAUUAUUUACUACCAAGAAUCUUUGUUGCUGCAUUACCAUUGGAAAAAGUUUUCAUUGUAAUAAGAACUAGAUUAAUAGCACCAGAAAUAUGCUGUGCUACUCUGUGCUAUCAUUUAAAGGCAUCAAUGAGUUAUUAUUUCAAC